rnacentral:siRNA from 1 species
AGGAGUGACACCUACCAUAGCUGC